GUCCUGGGUAGCCUAGUGGACAUGGCAUCUGCCCGGUAAGCGGAACACUGUGGGUUCGAUUCCCAUCCCUGGACA
rnacentral:tRNA from 1 species